UACGGGGGGGGCAAGCGUUGUUCGGAAUUACUGGGCGUAAAGGGCUCGUAGGUGGCCAACUAAGUCAGACGUGAAAUCCCUCGGCUUAACCGGGGAACUGCGUCUGAUACUGGAUGGCUUGAGUUCGGGAGAGGGAUGCGGAAUUCCAGGUGUAGCGGUGAAAUGCGUAGAUAUCUGGAGGAACACCGGUGGCGAAGGCGGCAUCCUGGACCGACACUGACACUGAGGAGCGAGAGCCAGGGGAGCAAACGGG
rnacentral:rRNA from 1 species